rnacentral:rRNA from 1 species
AUUGAACGCUGGCGGCAGGCCUAACACAUGCAAGUCGGACGGUAGCACAGGGAGCUUGCUCUCGGGUGACGAGUGGCGGACGGGUGAGUAAUGUCUGGGGAUCUGCCCGAUAGAGGGGGAUAACCACUGGAAACGGUGGCUAAUACCGCAUAACGUCGCAAGACCAAAGAGGGGGACCUUCGGGCCUCUCACUAUCGGAUGAACCCAGAUGGGAUUAGCUAGUAGGCGGGGUAACGGCCCACCUAGGCGACGAUCCCUAGCUGGUCUGAGAGGAUGACCAGGCAGACGGGAACUGAGACACGGUCCGGACUCCUACGGGAGGCAGCAGUGGGGAAUAUUGCACAAUGGGCGCAAGCCUGAUGCAGCCAUGCCGCGUGUAUGAAGAAGGCCUUCGGGUUGUAAAGUACUUUCAGCGGGGAGGAAGGCGAUGUGGUUAAUAACCGCAUUGAUUGACGUUACCCGCAGAAGAAGCACCGGCUAACUCCGUGCCAGCCGCCGCAGUAA